AAGAAAGUGACUGCCGCCCCGCACAGGGGCGAAGCUAAUAGACCGAUAAGAAAGCAAGUUUCACAGAAGCCGAAGCGCAUCAGACGGUUCAAAAAACACCAACCCCAAGCGCCAGCGACCGACCC
rnacentral:sRNA from 1 species